rnacentral:rRNA from 1 species
ACGAACGCUGGCGGCGUGCUUAACACCUGCAAGUCGAACGGUGAUGCUCCAGCUUGCUGGAGUGGAUCAGUGGCGAACGGGUGAGUAACACGUGAGCAACCUGCCCCAGACUCUGGAAUAAGCGCUGGAAACGGCGUCUAAUACUGGAUACGAAACUGGCCCGCAUGGGCAUGGUUUGGAAAGUUUUUCGGUUUGGGAUGGGCUCGCGGCCUAUCAGCUUGUUGGUGAGGUAAUGGCUCACCAAGGCGACGACGGGUAGCCGGCCUGAGAGGGCGACCGGCCACACUGGGACUGAGACACGGCCCAGACUCCUACGGGAGGCAGCAGUGGGGAAUAUUGCACAAUGGGCGAAAGCCUGAUGCAGCGACGCCGCGUGAGGGAUGACGGCCUUCGGGUUGUAAACCUCUUUCAGCAGGGAAGAAGCGAAAGUGACGGUACCUGCAGAAGAAGCACCGGCUAACUACGUG